AUGCCGGGAGAGUCGUGAAAGGCGGACACCGAAGGGGCAGAAACUCUCAGGUAAAAGGACCGGCAG
rnacentral:ncRNA from 2 species